rnacentral:lncRNA from 1 species
UGAACAUUAUAACCAUUGCCACGAAUUUGGCAUACCACAGCUUUUGAGUCACAGUGGAACUGGCCCUCAUUUGUUAACUAACAACACUCCAUCAAAAUAGUUAGUAGUUCCCUUCUAGCGUCACUCAGGUCGCUGAUGUGAUGAGGCGAGCCCACAACAAGCUGAGGAGAGUGCAGGGAUCUUGGCGACGACCUUCGGGGUCCCCGGUUCGAAUCCGAUAAACAGAGUUUGUGGCAAACCUACACGGCGUACCUUCGUCUAUGUUUCCAUCCUAAAAGUUCUGGAUAUAUCCGGUUCAAAACAUAAUCUUUGGGCCGCGACAGCCGCUCCGCCAUGUGCCUUCGGGGCACGAAACGACAUGCUACGGGGAGAGAAGAAAGUCGACCUCCAUGUAGAGUGCCCGAUAACUAUAAAGAAAGCGGGGGUUGUAACCUUGGGAAACUAAAAGUACCCUACAAUCGCUAUGCUCUGUUCAUGGAAUCCACCGUCCAUGGUUGACCAAAGGCAGCAACCGCAGUGCCGUGAACCGACCACCACAUAGAAUGAGUAUUCUAUAAUACAUAAUAUUGGACCUACCGACUGAUUAGCCUGAUUACAAUCUGGUGGUGCAGAAAUCCUGUCAGGACAGGUCCUUCACCUAUUAGUUAUCCACGUCACUAUGUGUCUGCCGAGGACAUCGGUCUCAUCUUCUCUACAGGUGGUCAAUGACAACGAGUAAGCUGAAGACACUACCUCAUUCUCAGAAUUAACACUCAC